GACGUAGGAGGCGAGCGUUGUCCGGAAUUACUGGGCGUAAAGCGUGCGCAGGCGGUUCGUUGUGUCGGUGGUGAAAGCCCCGGGCUUAACCUGGGAAUGGCCAUGGAAACUGGCGAACUGGAGUGUGGCAGAGGGGGGUGGAAUUCCGCGUGUAGCAGUGAAAUGCGUAGAGAUGCGGAGGAACACCGAUGGCGAAGGCAGCCCCCUGGGCUGACACUGACGCUCAGGCACGAAAGCGUGGGGAGCAAACAGG
rnacentral:rRNA from 1 species